ACGGAAGGCAGCAGUGGGGAAUAUUGCACAAUGGGCGAAAGCCUGAUGCAGCGACGCCGCGUGAGCGAAGAAGUAUUUCGGUAUGUAAAGCUCUAUCAGCAGGGAAGAUAAUGACGGUACCUGACUAAGAGGCACCGGCUAAAUACGUGCCAGCAGCCGCGGUAAUACGUAUGGUGCAAGCGUUAUCCGGAUUUACUGGGUGUAAAGGGAGCGUAGGCGGUUUUACAAGUCUGAUGUGAAAGCCCGGGGCUCAACUCCGGUAUUGCAUUGGAAACUGUAGAACUAGAGUGUCGGAGGGGUAAGUGGAAUUCCUAGUGUAGCGGUGAAAUGCGUAGAUAUUAGGAGGAACACCAGUGGCGAAGGCGGCUUACUGGACGAUUACUGACGCUGAGGCUCGAAAGCGUGGGGAGCAAACAGGAUUAGAUACCCUGGUA
rnacentral:rRNA from 1 species